UAACCUGCCUCAUACAGGGGGAUAACAGUUAGAAAUGACUGCUAAUACCGCAUAAGCGCACAGCAUCGCAUGAUGCAGUGUGAAAAACUCCGGUGGUAUGAGAUGGACCCGCGUCUGAUUAGCUAGUUGGUGAGGUAAAGGCCCACCAAGGCGACGAUCAGUAGCCGACCUGAGAGGGUGAUCGGCCACAUUGGGACUGAGACACGGCCCAA
rnacentral:rRNA from 1 species